AGUUCACCAUGACAAUGGUGAACUAAACCCUUUUGUUGUUGGGGGAAACAAUGUAAUCUUUUGAAACUCUCUUUUAUUGAAACUCUUGUUUAUUUAUAUGAUUCUUCAUAUGCUUUGAUUGUCAAUGGUUGGUUUCUCAUCUGCGCUUAAUGCUUUUAUCGUUUAACUCAUUCGAUAAUUGUUGUUUGUCUUUAUUGAUACGGGAACGUACAGUACUGUCAUGAACUGAUGAGAAAUUCCUUGGUUAAGCAAUACCAACUUACGGAUAGGGGGUAGGACGAUCACUUGUUUUUGCUUUUGUUCUUAAUGUGUUAUAAAUUGCUAGGGGAGGCUAGGGAUAGCAAGCCGGUAAUUAGUAAGAGGCUCUUUUCGCCGAGGGAUCGGGUUAAGGGUAGGCCAAGAAAGUUUGCAUAACAAUUAGAUAAUCAAGCACAUUAAACAAGAGGAGUAGACAAGAGGGAGCGGAUAAGAUGAAAUUGUCAACCCCCAACAACUCCAUUCAUCCAUAGUCUUUUUCGUCAAUUGAAUCAAAUACAUUGCAUGUUUAUUUUCUGUCUUUGCAUUCACAACAAUUAAUCUUUUUUCUACAAGUCUUACAAUUUUAAUUCACACGAACGAUAAGGCCUUUCGAGUCUCUUGGGAAGAACGAUAUCGGGCAUUACCGAUUAUAUUACUUGAACGAUCUGGUACACUUGCCAAUGAGUCAACAGUCCUAUUCCUCUUCCUAGGUAAUAUUGCACAAUCAAGAGAAUUACCAUCCUGUCUAGAUUUUCCCGUAUGAGUCCAUAUCG
rnacentral:lncRNA from 1 species